GACGAACGCUGGCGGCGUGCCUAAUACAUGCAAGUAGAACGCACAGUCUAUACCGUAGCUUGCUACACCAUAGACUGUGAGUUGCGAACGGGUGAGUAACGCGUAGGUAACCUGCCUGGUAGCGGGGGAUAACUAUUGGAAACGAUAGCUAAUACCGCAUAAUAGUGAUUAUUGCAUGAUAAUUGAUUGAAAGAUGCUAUUGCAUCACUACCAGAUGGACCUGCGUUGUAUUAGCUAGUAGGUGAGGUAACGGCCCACCUAGGCGACGAUACAUAACCGACCUGGGAGGGUGGUCGGCCACCAUGGGACUGGGACCCGGCCCAGACCCCUACGGGGGGCCGCAGUAGGGAAUCUUCGGCAAUGGACGAAAGUCUGACCGAGCAACGCCGCGUGAGUGAAGAAGGUUUUCGGAUCGUAAAGCUCUGUUGUAACAGAAGAACGGGUGUGUGAGUGGAAAGUUCACCUUGUGACGGUAUCUUACCAGAAAGGGACGGCUAACUACGUG
rnacentral:rRNA from 1 species